rnacentral:lncRNA from 1 species
AACUUUCGAAAAGCGAGAGAGACCAGUAAUUCUUAUAACACUCAUUUGGGCCUCCGUUUUACUGAUACCGACAUGAUGGGAACAUUGUUUAUGCAAAAUCUUGGACUUACACUUGAAAUUGUUUGCUUCUUUUUGCUUUUAUUUAUUGGAACGGUGAAGAUGGAAAACCAGGAGCACCCGGGAGCACAUUUCAGAGGAAGCUCUGAGGGCAGGAGGUGGACCAUGUUCCUGACUGCCAUCAGGAACUGGGCCACGGGAACACGGAUGUCACUUUCCCAAAGCUAAAGGCUGCGAGCCAGCAAACUCAAUGUGAAAGAGAGAAAAAUGGAGAGAACAAAAACGCAGAAUCUGAAGAUGUGUUACUACACGUCAAGAUAAAUAUCAUGCAAGAGAAGAGAGAUGAUGUUUUUCAAAUAUUUAAAACACAAUUUACAGCUACUUGCUUCAGCCCAGUUAAUAGAAAUAUAGUUAGACUGUGGGAAAUGGAUAGUUU